rnacentral:rRNA from 1 species
GACGAACGCUGGCGGCGUGCCUAAUACAUGCAAGUCGAACGCUGAAGGAGGAGCUUGCUUCUCUGGAUGAGUUGCGAACGGGUGAGUAACGCGUAGGUAACCUGCCUGGUAGCGGGGGAUAACUAUUAGAAACGAUAGCUAAUACCGCAUAACAGUAGAUAUCGCAUGAUAUCUACUUGAAAGGUGCAAUUGCAUCACUACCAGAUGGACCUGCGUUGUAUUAGCUAGUUGGUGAGGUAACGGCUCACCAAGGCGACGAUACAUAGCCGACCUGAGAGGGGGAUCGGCCACACUGGGACUGAGACACGGCCCAGACUCCUACGGGAGGCAGCAGUAGGGAAUCUUCGGCAAUGGACGGAAGUCUGACCGAGCAACGCCGCGUGAGUGAAGAAGGGUUUCGGAUCGUAAAGCUCUGUUGUAAGAGAAGAACGAGUGUGAGAGUGGAAAGUUCACACUGUGACGGUAUCUUACCAGAAAGAGACGGCUAACUACGUG